GCUGGAACUGGUGGUGCUGUCCUCUAGCAGAUCCUUGAGGUCAUUGGCCGCUGCCAAAGUGCACAGCAGCAAGAGCAUGAGAAUUGGACUACCGCUCCCGAAUGUCACCUCCCACUUGGAGAAGAAAA